rnacentral:rRNA from 4 species
UAAACGACUCUCGGCAACGGAUAUCUCGGCUCUUGCAUCGAUGAAGAACGUAGCGAAAUGCGAUACUUGGUGUGAAUUGCAGAAUCCCGUGAACCAUCGAGUCUUUGAACGCAAGUUGCGCCUGAAGCCAUUAGGCUGAAGGCACGUCUGCCUGGGCGUCACGC